rnacentral:tRNA from 1 species
UGGGGCGGUGGUGGAAUCGGUAGACACACCAGACUUAAAAUCUGUUGGGCAUUGCCCGUGCGAGUUCAAGUCUCGCUCGCCCUAU